UGGACAGAUUAUUAUAUUCGAAUGUAUUCAACUGUAUUCACAGCGUGAAACAGAGGAUUACACUGUUUUUAAACGGAAAGUGAAUCAAUUAACAUAAUAGACUCCU
rnacentral:pre_miRNA from 1 species